GAGGGGAGAGCGCCUUGGCCGCUGGUUUGCAGCCUGGCUCGUGGUUUCCCCUGGUGCUGGGGAGUGGAGGCGAGUUGUGCUUCCUGCUGGGAGAGAGAAGGGCCUUGGGAAGCUGCUCCAUGGCCCCACAGCUGUGCCGAGCCUGGGAGUCUGUCCAGCAGGAUGUGGAGUGCCACCGUGUCCCUGAGGUCACCCUUUCUGCUGUUGGGAGAGCAUGAGGUGGAUGGAGAGGAUACCCAGGCAUCUGCAGGCACAAGGGACUGGGAAUAACUCCUGUCAGCAGCAAGGUCCCAACUGAAGUG